GUGGGAAGCUCGAUCAGCAAGCCAAAAAUGAAAACGGGAACGACGAUGAAGUGGAUUCCUACUGGAGGGAACCCCUGGGUUGGCUUUUUGAGCAGAUCGGCAAGUGGUUGCAGGUCAAGCAUCCGAUGCAUAUGUACUCUGCCGAAGACAACCUUACGGAUCGUGAAGACACUCCUGCACCCCAUGGAAACGUGGUGCAGAGUCAGAACGCCGAAAACUAAAUAUAUACAUACGCCUUGUUCGUUAGUUAAAAAGAUGUUUUUGUCUCAAUUGUAAGUAAAAACUUUCGUAAAAAUUUCGAUAACGAAGCCGGUUACUUCGCCUUGUGACGUGCCUGACGUGCCUUCUCUUUCAAGAUGCUCAACAAUAAAAUUAGGCUCCCAGAAAC